rnacentral:rRNA from 1 species
UAGGGAAUCUUCGGCAAUGGACGAAAGUCUGACCGAGCAACGCCGCGUGAGUGAAGAAGGUUUUCGGAUCGUAAACUCUGUUGGUAGAGAAGAACGUUGGUGAGAGUGGAAAGCUCAUCAAGUGACGGUAACUACCCAGAAAGGGACGGCUAACUACGUGCCA